rnacentral:rRNA from 1 species
UACGAAGGGGGCUAGCGUUGUUCGGAAUCACUGGGCGUAAAGCGCAUGCAGGCGGCUCGUUAAGUCGGGGGUGAAAGCCCGAGGCUCAACCUCGGAACUGCCUUCGAUACUGGCGAUCUUGAGUCCGGGAGAGGUGAGUGGAACUCCGAGUGUAGAGGUGAAAUUCGUAGAUAUUCGGAAGAACACCAGUGGCGAAGGCGGCUCACUGGCCCGGUACUGACGCUGAGAUGCGAAAGCGUGGGGAGCAAACAGG